rnacentral:lncRNA from 1 species
GUCUGAAGAGGAUCAGGAAAAACUGAAGAAGCUUACGGAGUUGAAAGAGUCCCUGGAAUAUACUUUGGAUCAAGAACAGAAGAGAAGCGACGCAUUAGAAAAGGAACUGACAGAAUUUAAGGAAGUCUUAAAAAUGACCAAAAAAGAAUUAAGUGAAUAUGAAAACAGAGAACUUCAUCUUCAUCAAGAUAUGAAAAGCAGUCAACUUGAAAUGGAUGUCCCAGUUAAUGCACUAGUAAAAAAGAUUGAUGAUCUUACAGAAAAACUGGAGACUGCAUCUUCAAAAUGUCUACAUCUGGGUAAAAGAAAUCAGCUGCUUCAGCAAGAAUUACUGCUGAUGAAAACUCUACAGAAGAAGUGUGGGAAACUCGAGAAGAGUAAAAGGAAACUGGA